AAAGCUCGUAGUUGAAUUUCGGGAUUGACACAUCGGUCGUGCCUUAAGGGGUAUGAACUGGUGUAGUCAAUUUCUCACCUUCUGGAGAACCGCGAUGCCCUUAAUUGGGUGUCACGGGGAACCAGGACCUUUACUUUGAAAAAAUUAGAGUGUUUAAAGCAGGCAUUUUGCUUGAAUACAUUAGCAUGGAAUAAUAAAAUAGGACGGCAUGAUUCUAUUUUGUUGGUUUCUAGGAUCACCGUAAUGAUUAAUAGGGAUAGUUGGGGGCAUUAGUAUUCAAUUGUCAGAGGUGAAAUUCUUGGAUUUAUUGAAGACUAACUACUGCGAAAGCAUUUGCCAAGGAUGUUUUCAUUAAUCAAGAACGAAAGUUAGGGGAUCGAAGACGAUCAGAUACCGUCGUAGUCUUAACCAUAAACUAUGCCGACUAGGAAUCAGACGAUGUUAAUUUUUUAAUGACUCGUUCGGCACCUUACGGGAA
rnacentral:rRNA from 1 species